rnacentral:rRNA from 1 species
GAUGAACGCUGGCGGCGUGCCUAAUACAUGCAAAUCGAGCGAACGGACGAGAAGCUUGCUUCUCUGAUGUUAGCGGCGGACGGGUGAGUAACACGUGGAUAACCUACCUAUAAGGCUGGGAUAACUUCGGGAAACCGGAGCUAAUACCGGAUAAUAUUUUGAACCGCAUGGUUCAAAAGUGAAAGACGGUCUUGCUGUCACUUAUAGAUGGAUCCGCGCUGCAUUAGCUAGUUGGUAAGGUAAUGGCUUACCAAGGCAACGAUGCAUAGCCGACCUGAGAGGGUGAUCGGCCACACUGGAACUGAGACACGGUCCAGACUCCUACGGGAGGCAGCAGUAGGGAAUCUUCCGCAAUGGGCGAAAGCCUGACGGAGCAACGCCGCGUGAGUGAUGAAGGUCUUCGGAUCGUAAAACUCUGUUAUUAGGGAAGAACAUAUGUGUAAGUAACUGUGCACAUCUUGACGGUACCUAAUCAGAAAGCCACGGCUAACUACGUG